CUGUGCCCCUUUUCUGUGCCG
rnacentral:miRNA from 1 species